AGUACAUGGGGGGUGGGGUGUGGUGGGGCGGCGCUUCUCAAUGCCUCGCAUCCAUGUACAGGUAGUUCAGUCCCGUACGAUAAUAACUUAAGCGCUGCAUCAUUUUUCAAUAACUCUUGCCUUCCAUCCGCUCUGAGCCAUGGCCGACGUUCUAUUCAAUAUACGACCCGUGUUUGUGGAAAGAGUUUCGCUGGCCGUCCUCAAGCUGCUGAUUGACGAUCUCCGGCUAAGGAGGGUUCUGAAUGCUGCGGAGGUGGGCGAAGUGACAGAAGAACACCGCCAGAGAAUGGACCAGGCUCGCACCUUAAUAGACAUGGUGCGGAAUAAAGGCGACGAGGCCAGCAAACAGCUGAUGAUAUCCCUUCAGAAGCAGGACCCAGCGCUAUCUGAAGAACUUGGGCUCCAUUGCGCGAUGGACCAACGCUAGGAAAACGAGUUGUGGUGACCAUCGGUACACCUCACCUCAGGAGCAACAUGGAACAGAUCUUUUUCCGUAUUAAAAUACCGUCAAAAAUGGCAUUUUUAAAUUUUUUUUAAUUUUUGAUAUUUUUGGCCAUACGGCUAUAUUGCCUUUUGUAUUUUGCCAUUAUCCACGGAAACGCAUUAUUCAUAAUAAAAUUCUUCAAGCAUCUGUGUUCUUGUUCUGAUGUGUCUUUUUAAUCAUUUUAAUUCAGAAAAUAAAAUAACUUCAGAAUAUUUUCCUACG